GACGAACGCUGGCGGCGUGCCUAAUACAUGCAAGUAGAACGCUGACGGAGGAGCUUGCUUCUCUGGAUGAGUUGCGAACGGGUGCGUAACGCGUAGGUAACCUGCCUGGUAGCGGGGGAUAACUGUUGGAAAGGAUAGCUAAUACCGUAUAACAGUAGAUGUUGCAUGACAUUUGGUUAAAAGGUGCACUUGCAUCACUACCAGAUGGACCUGCGUUGUUUUAGCUAGUUGGUGGGGUAACGGCUCACCAAGGCGACGAUACAUAGCCGGCCUGAGAGGGUGAUCGACCACCCUUGGACUGAGACCCGGCCCAGGCUCCUACGGGGAGGAGCAGGAGGGGAUCUUCGGAAAUGGACAGAAGUCUGACCGAGCAACGCCGCGGUAGUGAAGAAGGUUUUCGGGUCGUAAAGCUCUGUUUGAAGAGAAGAACGAGCAUGAGGUUGGAAAGUUCACGCUGUGACGGUACCUUACCAAAAAGGAACGGCUAACUACGUG
rnacentral:rRNA from 1 species